CUGUGGUCCUUAGUAACUUCCCCAAUGUCCAUGUCUUUAUUAAACCCUUUGCACCUGGCAGUUCGCUGACUGGUCUCGAAAUUCUUGACCCAAGCCCCGUAAGCAAGCUUCUCUCUCCUGUGAGCAUGGCAACAACAGAUAGGGACAUCAGAAGACCUGGGGAACGGUGGUGUUCAAUGACAGCAAGGGAAUGAAGAGUCAACAUGGAUGAUAGGACAGGUACGAUAAGGAGAGAAGUGGUCUGGGAAUUGGGGCCCCACCGC
rnacentral:lncRNA from 1 species